rnacentral:lncRNA from 1 species
UGAGAUUUGAUGAAAAAAAAAGGUAAAUCUCGGGUCACCAGUAAGCCCAUAUGUGGCCAACUCGGAAAUGUCAUUGCUUCCAUUUUGGGUUGAGUUGUGGAUUGAUAAUGAAAACAGGUAAUGUGUCUCAAGCAUAUAUUGGUCUUGGCUUUUUCACAAUCUGGUUCUACUGUUUUGUUGUGCCUGGUUGAAGAAUUUUGAUACACUUGAGCUUUUAUUGCUUAGUGACCACCACUGUCUAAGCCCAAGGCAUGCCGGUUAAAAGUACUUAGCAUAGAGGAUUACUGUAUAGUAGACUACUGGCAUUCUCUAUCGCAUUUAGUGUUCGCAGCAUGACGAGCCAAAUGGUAGAGCCGUAAUGUAUAGAUGUCUUGUCGUAUGGGCUCAAGUUUCCAAUAAACGCGUAGAACUCGAAACAGUUUCUUCCAUUUCUGUUGCGGACAGAAUAGUUGGACAGCCUAUAUCCAGGAGUUUCGGAGUUCCAUUAGUAUUGAUCUGGUUAGGAGUGGUUAGGAGAAGUUCGAAAUGGAGUUCGGAGUGUACCAUGUAAGAUGUAGCCAUAAUUAGCAGCAUUGGUGGAGCCAAACAGAGGCUCAGGGGGAUACGGCUUUCUCCCAAAGUUUAAUUUUUUUUUCAAUUUAGUCCUUUGUACAUAUAUUAUGGCCCUCCGAAAAGUAUGAGUAUG